AUAGUACUCUCUCCAUUCUGAAUUACUUGUCGCGGAUAUGGAGGUAUCUAGAUGUAUUUUAGUUCUAAAUUCAUCCAUUUCUGCGACCAAUAAUUUGGAACGGAGGGAGUAUUAA
rfam:Triticum aestivum genome assembly, contig: Triticum_aestivum_CS42_TGACv1_scaffold_222585_3B